rnacentral:rRNA from 1 species
CUACGGGAGGCAGCAGUGGGGAAUAUUGCACAUGGCGCAGCUGAUGCAGCGACGCCGCGUGAGGGAUGACGCUUCGGGUUGUAACCUCUUUCAGUAGGGAGAAGCGAAAGUGACGGUACCUGCAGAAGAAGCGCCGGCUAACUACGUGCCAGCAGCCGCGGUAAUACGUAGGGCGCAAGCGUUAUCCGGAAUUAUUGGGCGUAAAGAGCUCGUAGGCGGUUUGUCGCGUCUGCCGUGAAAGUCCGGGGCUCAACUCCGGAUCUGCGGUGGGUACGGGCAGACUAGAGUGAUGUAGGGGAGACUGGAAUUCCUGGUGUAGCGGUGAAAUGCGCAGAUAUCAGGAGGAACACCGAUGGCGAAGGCAGGUCUCUGGGCAUUAACUGACGCUGAGGAGCGAAAGCAUGGGGAGCGAACAGGAUUAGAUACCCUGGUAGUCCAUGCCGUAAACGUUGGGCACUAGGUGUGGGGGACAUUCCACGUUUUCCGCGCCGUAGCUAACGCAUUAAGUGCCCCGCCUGGGGAGUACGGCCGCAAGGCUAAAACUCAAAGGAAUUGACGGGGGCCCGCACAAGCAGCGGAGCAUGUGGUUUAAUUCGACGCAACGCGAAGAACCUUACCUGGGCUUGACAUGUUCCUGACAGGUGUGGAAACACACCCUCCCUUCGGGGCAGGAUCACAGGUGGUGCAUGGCUGUCGUCAGCUCGUGUCGUGAGAUGUUGGGUUAAGCCCCGCAACGAGCGCAACCCCUGUCGCAUGUUGCCAGCUUUAGUUGGGGACUCAUGCGAGACUGCCGGUGACAAACCGGAGGAAGGUGGGGAUGACGUCAAGUCAUCAUGCCCCUUAUGUCCAGGGCUACACACGUGCUACAUUGGCCGGUACAAAGGGCUGCGAUACCGCGAGGUGGAGCGAAUCCCAUAAAGCCGGUCUCGGUUCGGAUUGGAGGCUGAAACUCGCCUCCAUGAAGGCGGAGUUGCUAGUAAUCGUGGAUCAGCAAUGCCGCGGUGAAUACGUUCCCGGG